AUUGAACGCUGGCGGCAGGCCUAACACAUGCAAGUCGAGCGGAGCGGCCGACGGACGAGUAAUGCCUAGAAAUCUGCCUGGUAGUGGGGGAUAACUUCCUGAAACGGGCGCUAAUACCUCAUACUCUCAGUUGAGCCAACGUGGGAUUAGCUAGCUGGUGGGGUAGAGGCCUACCAAGGCGACGAUCCGUAGCUGGUCUGAGAGGAUGAUCAGUCACACUGGAACUGAGACACGGUCCAGACUCCUACGGGAGGCAGCAGUGGGGAAUAUUGGACAAUGGGCGAAAGCCUGAUGCAGCCAUGCCGCGUGUGUGAAGAAGGUCUUCGGAUUGUAAAGCACUUUAAGUUGGGAGGCGUUACCAACAGAAUAAGCACCGGCUAACUCCGUGCCAGCAGCCGCGGUAAUUC
rnacentral:rRNA from 1 species